CAUUGUUAUAUAUACCUUUAACUAUUAUUUAUAAACUGUAAUUAUAUUGAGUUUCCUAUCUUUUUUCAGUUGGUUUUUUAUGUCUUUAUAGUUUUCUAGAGAAAUGUGUUUCUCAGAUAAUAAUUCAAAUUUUGACAUUAUUUUUGGUUCCAUUGUGAAUCCUACUUUCUAUCUCUAUUUUUGACUACUCAUCAUAGGUGGAAUCAUGGUAUUUGUCCUUCUGCAAUUGGCUUAUUUCACUCAGAAUAAUUUCCUCAAGUUUUACUCCUCUUCAUAUUAUAGCAUAUGUUAGAAUUUUCUCCUUUUAAAAGCUAGAAUAACAUGCCAUUGUGUUUGUAUAUCACAUGUUGCUUAUCCAUCCAUUCAUUCAACUUGAGUUGUUUGCACAUUUUAGCUAAUGUGAACAAUGAUGCUAUGAAUAUGGGUGUACAAGUAUCUCUUCAAGACUAAACUUUAACUUAUUUUGCUUUUAUACUUAGAAGUGAAAUCCAACAGAAUCAUAUGGUAAUUCUAUUUUUAAUUUUUGUUAGAUUUUUACUCUGGAGACAGACAGACAAACACACACACACACACACACACACACACACAAUUUUUUUUGGUGGUGGUGGUAGGGAUUGAACCCAAGGCCUGACGCUUGCUCUACCACUGAGCUAUACCACCAGCCCUUUUUUAUUUUACUUUAAGCCAGGGUCUCACUAAGUUACCCAGGCUGGCCUUGAACUUGCAAUCCUCCUGCCUCAACCUCCUGAGUAGCUGGGAUUACAUGUGUUUAUCACUGUGCCUGACCCUCUGUUUAUAUUUUUUUGAUGCACAAUUAAAAGUUUUUUUUCAUGAAGUCCAAUUUGUCUAUUUUCUAUUUUGUUGCCUAUGCCUUUGGUUUUAUAUCUAAGAAGUCAUUACCAAAUUAUGAAGAUUUGCCCUGUUUUUUUUUUCUUUAAAAAGUGUUAAAGAUUAAGGUCUUUGAUAUGUAAUGAAUUUACACUAUCCAACAUGAUGUUAGUUAAGAUUCAAUUUCAUUCUUGUACCUGUUGAUAUUCAAUUUUCCUAGUAUCAUUUAUUGAAAAAGACUGUCCAUUGAAUGACUUUGAUACCCUCAUCAUUAGGAUGUAUUCUUAUCUUAAGGUAAAUUAUAUGUGGUUAUAAAACAAAACAAAUAUACUUAUCUGGCUUAUAAAAUAAAUCAUCUUUCUUCAUUUUAUCUAUCUGUUUUACUCUGUCUUGUGUAUUUCUGUUCACUACCUCUAGAGUGAUC
rnacentral:lncRNA from 1 species